rnacentral:rRNA from 1 species
GACGAACCGUCCAAACGUUGUUCGGAAUCACUGGGCUUAAAGGGUGCGUAGGCAGCUUAUUAAGUCAGUGGUGAAAGCUCCAUGCUUAACAUGGAAAUUGCCAUUGAUACUGAUGAGCUUGAGUAGAUUUGAAGUGGGCGGAAUGUGUCGUGUAGCGGUGAAAUGCUUAGAUAUGACACAGAACACCGAUUGCGUAGGCAGCUCACUAAACUCUUACUGACGCUGAGGCACGAAAGCAUGGGGAUCAAACAGG